rnacentral:rRNA from 1 species
UGCAGUCGAACGGUAACAGGGAGCUUGCUCCGCUGACGAGUGGCGAACGGGUGAGUAAUAUAUCGGAACGUACCCAAGAGUGGGGGAUAACGUAGCGAAAGUUACGCUAAUACCGCAUACGAUCCAAGGAUGAAAGCAGGGGACCUUCGGGCCUUGUGCUCCUGGAGCGGCCGAUAUCUGAUUAGCUAGUUGGUGAGGUAAAGGCUCACCAAGGCGACGAUCAGUAGCUGGUCUGAGAGGACGACCAGCCACACUGGAACUGAGACACGGUCCAGACUCCUACGGGAGGCAGCAGUGGGGAAUUUUGGACAAUGGGCGCAAGCCUGAUCCAGCAAUGCCGCGUGAGUGAAGAAGGCCUUCGGGUUGUAAAGCUCUUUUGUCAGGGAAGAAGCGGCUGUGGCUAAUAUCCACGGCUAAUGACGGUACCUGAAGAAUAAGCACCGGCUAACUACGUGCCAGCAGCCGCGGUAAUACGUAGGGUGCAAGCGUUAAUCGGAAUUACUGGGCGUAAAGCGUGCGCAGGCGGUUUUGUAAGUCUGUCGUGAAAUCCCCGGGCUCAACCUGGGAAUUGCGAUGGAGACUGCAAGGCUAGAAUCUGGCAGAGGGGGGUAGAAUUCCACGUGUAGCAGUGAAAUGCGUAGAGAUGUGGAGGAACACCGAUGGCGAAGGCAGCCCCCUGGGUCAAGAUUGACGCUCAUGCACGAAAGCGUGGGGAGCAAACAGGAUUAGAUACCCUGGUAGUCCACGCCCUAAACGAUGUCUACUAGUUGUCGGGUUCUAAUUAACUUGGUAACGCAGCUAACGCGUGAAGUAGACCGCCUGGGGAGUACGGUCGCAAGAUUAAAACUCAAAGGAAUUGACGGGGACCCGCACAAGCGGUGGAUGAUGUGGAUUAAUUCGAUGCAACGCGAAAAACCUUACCUACCCUUGACAUGUC